rnacentral:lncRNA from 8 species
AUGAAUCCGGCAAAGAAAGUUAGACUUUCUAACGUGCCACCAUUUGUUAGAGAUGAAGUGUUGGAGCGAGAGUUAUCUCGUCAUGGUCAAAUUGUAUCAACAAUAAAGAAGGUUCUUUUUGGAUGUAAAUCUCCGUUGCUGAAACAUGUCGUGUCUCAUAGGAGACAAGUGCAUAUGAUUUUAAAAAAGGACACUGAUGAACUGAAUUUAGCAUUCAGUUUUAAGAUUGAUGGAUUUGAUUAUGUCUUCUACGCUUCUACUGAAUCAAUGAAAUGCUUUGGCUGUGGAAGAGAGGGGCAUUUGGUGCGUAAUUGUCCCGAGAAUGAGCACGCAGAGCCCGGUAGCAGCUCUAGUGCUGGUGCAGCUAACGCACCACCGCGAAGGGAUGAACAUGCUAAGGGUGCAGGGGAAGGGAGAAGGUGGGCAGAUGUGGUAGGAAAAGUAGGAGAGGAAGGCAGUGUGGAUAAGGGGGCAAUUGUGGUAGAUCAGAACAAAGAGGGAGGGGAAACAGUCGGUGAGAUUGCGAUUGCCGUCGCUGAGGUGGUGCUGGAAAAUGAAAUUGGAGGUCAAGAGGAGAUUGGAAUAAUGGAAAAGGAAGCAGCUGUUUUCAAAGUACCGAGGAGUAAGAGGAAGAAUGAAAGGGGUGGGGAAGGGUCUAAUUCCAAGAGGAAGGUAGAGAUUGAUAAAUCACUUGAAGAUAAACAGGUUGUAGAGAUGGUGGAGUUUUCUUCUGGGGAGGAUAGCGAGAGUGAGUCAUCUGACGCGUCACAACAAAAUAGUGAGAUAAAUGGGGUGGAAGGGAGGUAUGGGAUUGAGAAGGUACGUCAAUUUCUGAAGUUGACAAAAGGGAAGAAAUAUAUGCAGGAUUACAAUGUAACAGAUUUUUUCCCUGAAAGCGAAUUGUUUAUUGAUUCAGCAAAGUUUAUGAUGUCAAAAAUAACAGGGGGAGGUUUGACAAGCCCUGAAAUUGCUAGACUCAAGAAAGUGGUUGCGAGAGUGAUAAGUGAUGUAAAUUCAAAAGAAAAUGAAAGAGUUCAGUCGCAGUUUUAA